AACAUAUGGACGGCGUGAUUGCCGUCUCUCUGUGCCGUGCUGGAGAGGCCCUGAACUCGCCGAGUCUCCAACGCGACUCUAACUCUCUAGUCUCCUCCAUCUCCUGCCUCUCCUGUUUCGUCGCCCUCCUCCCCUUUCUUCUCCUCUCGUCUCCCCUCCUUUCUCGUGAUCUUCUCUCUUCGUUUCUCCUAUUACACGCUGAGGGACUCGCUUGGGAUCUUGCUAUGCCCUAACUCUUUCGUCGGUCACACGCUGCUGCCUCCGCCCUCCCUUUUCUUCGUUGGGAAAUGCAUUAGGGGUUUUGCUUGCACUACUCCCACUCUCUUCCCUCGGUCGCCCGCUGCUGCCUCCGCCUUCCCUCUUCCUCGUUGCACACCGUAGCCGUCAAAGAACUGCGAAGGGGUGGUAUUACUCUCUCUCUCUCUCUCUCUAGAUGAUCGAGCUUCGUUUCUAUUUCUCUAUUCCUAUUUCCACGGCACCCUCAUAAAAUCAUCUUUUAAUUCCUUUUUUUUUUGUUAAUGUAUGUUUUCUACUUUUGAUUUUUCACGAUUGUCAAAUGGUUGUUAGUUUUUUGUUGUUGAUGUUCCUUGAUUGAUAUCAAUUGUGUUCUAUAGUCACUAAUAAAUUGAUGUUAAAGAAACUUUGAUCUUAAUUCUCUAUUUCUCUGUUCAGUGCCAUGUUGGCAGAAAUCAAUGAAUUUGAUGCAUAUGGAUUUUGAUGAAUGUACUAGAAGGCCAUAUUUUUUCGUUUCCUGCAAUUGGAUUGGUUUCAGUGCUUCUGAACAUAUUGUCUCCAGAAUGUUUAUAAUUGAUUAAUUGCACUACUUUCCGUCUUAAAUGAGACAAUGCUUUGACUGUAUCUGAACCUGGAGGUUGUAGACGAAGUAAAGCAGCAUGGUGCAAUUUAAAAAUAGAUAUAUGGUGAUGGAAAUUUUUAUUGAUGGAGAAAGAGAAUUGGUUGGUGGUGACCCAAAAAAGAUUCUUAGCUCAAACAAUGUCUCCAGAACAAUUAAGGAUAGCAUUCGGUUGAAUUUUGGGGAGUGUGGUCUCGCCCUAUCACUUGGAUCAUUUCCAGUGAAAUAUCUCAAUGCCAUGACAAAGAUAUGCAUCAUCCGAACAUCUCAUGUGGAUCACCAAAAAGUUUGGUCUGCUAUAACAAUGAUAAGGAGCAUUGGGAAUUGCCCAGCUAUGUUUAAUUUACUUGACUUGAGCGGAACACAAAGAUAACAGGAUCCAACGAUGGGAUGAAAAUGAUGAGACCUUAUAAAUAGGAAUGAGGCCCUCGUGAGGACGAAUGACUACAAGAUAGAGAUGAUGGGAGCCUCAUGGCAAAAGCGACCGAUGCAACAGACAAUUGGUGGUGGAAGGCGUAUUUAGGAUACUAAGGAAAAAAGAGAACAAAGAACAAAGAACACAGAUACGCAUAUACCUGACUUUUGGCGAGAUCUAUAAGCGCUGAGGGGGGAAAUUGGGUGUUGCCACACGUAACAAUUCCAUUGACAUUACUGAGAUGCCGACCAUAAACGACUAGAAGAAAAGAGAGAGCUGUGACGGCCUGCAAGUUGGCCAUCGACGCCUUGUGUAUGAGACCGCCUACACACUUGCAUGGGAACAUUUGGUUUGGGGGAGACAUGCAGACCUGGAGUGUAUUCGGUGGAGAUGUAGGGAGACUGUGGCAGCAGUGAACAUGCAAAGUUCUGGGCGUAUCUACUGUAGUCGUCAUCAGUCUGCAACAAAAGAUUUAAUUGUUGUAGUGUCCCCAAAAAAAUAUAAAAUAAUUAUUCUCUCUUCA